rnacentral:rRNA from 1 species
UACAGAGGGUGCAAGCGUUGUUCGGAAUUAUUGGGCGUAAAGCGCGUGUAGGCGGCUUUGCAAGUCGGGUGUGAAAGCCCUCAGCUCAACUGAGGAAGUGCGCCCGAAACUGCAGAGCUUGAAUACCGGAGAGGAUGGCGGAAUUCCCCAAGUGGAGGUGAAAUGCGCAGAUAUCGGGAGGAACACCCGUAGCGAAGGCGGCGCUCUGGGCCGGUACUGACGCUGAGGAGCGAAAGCGUGGGGAGCAAACAGG